rnacentral:rRNA from 1 species
UGGGGAAUAUUGGACAAUGGGCGAAAGCCUGAUCCAGCCAUGCCGCGUGUGUGAAGAAGGUCUUCGGAUUGUAAAGCACUUUAAGUUGGGAGGAAGGGCAGUAAGCGAAUACCUUGCUGUUUUGACGUUACCGACAGAAUAAGCACCGGCUAACUCUGUGCCAGCAGCCGCGGUAAUACAGAGGGUGCAAGCGUUAAUCGGAAUUACUGGGCGUAAAGCGCGCGUAGGUGGUUCGUUAAGUUGAAUGUGAAAGCCCCGGGCUCAACCUGGGAACUGCAUCCAAAACUGGCGAGCUAGAGUAGGGCAGAGGGUGGUGGAAUUUCCUGUGUAGCGGUGAAAUGCGUAGAUAUAGGAAGGAACACCAGUGGCGAAGGCGACCUCCUGGGCUCAUACUGACACUGAGGUGCGAAAGCGUGGGGAGCAAACAGG